AGUGACGAUAGCCUAGGAGAUACACCUGUACCCAUGCCGAACACAGAAGUUAAGCCCUAGAACGCCGGAAGUAGUU
rnacentral:rRNA from 1 species